rnacentral:rRNA from 1 species
AGAGCGAACGCUGGCGGCAGGCCUAAUACAUGCAAGUCGAACGGAUCCUUCGGGAUUAGUGGCGGACGGGUGAGUAACACGUGGGAACGUACCCUUUGGUUCGGAACAACUCAGGGAAACUUGAGCUAAUACCGAAUGUGCCCUUCGGGGGAAAGAUUUAUCGCCAUUGGAGCGGCCCGCGUCUGAUUAGCUAGUUGGUAGGGUAAAGGCCUACCAAGGCUACGAUCAGUAGCUGGUCUGAGAGGAUGAUCAGCCACACUGGGACUGAGACACGGCCCAGACUCCUACGGGAGGCAGCAGUAGGGAAUCUUGCGCAAUGGGCGAAAGCCUGACGCAGCCAUGCCGCGUGAAUGAUGAAGGUCUUAGGAUUGUAAAAUUCUUUCAGCGGGACGAUAAUGACGGUACCCGCAGAAGAAGCCCCGGCUAACUUCGUGCCAGCAGCCGC